GAGGGUAUAGCUCAGUGUAGAGCGCAUGCUUAGCAUGCAUGAGGUCCGGGGUUCAAUUGAGGUCCUGGGUUCCAUCCCCAGUACCUCCA
rnacentral:tRNA from 1 species